CACUGCAGGAGCACCAUGAAGACCUCGCUGCUGUUCCUUGCUCUCACAGCCUUCGCUGCUGCCGACAAAAUCCCCGACUUCGUCGUACCGGGAAAGUGUCCCUUGUUGACGAGAGAAGCCUCUAUGAGCAGCAAAGGCCUAAUCAUCCAAAGUAUGCUGGCGUGUGGUAUGAAAUAGCCAUCACAAACAACCCUUACCAACUUAUCCGCCAGUGUGUCCGCAACGAAUAUACCUUUGAUGGAACCAAGUUCAACGUCAGAUCCACUGGUAUUGACGCCAGAGGAAGCCCAAUGACACGAAAUGGCCAGGUUCUGCCGAAUCCUUUCGGAGAAGCUCAUCUGUCCGUGGACUAUGAAGGAUCGUGGAUUGCUCCCUACGUGAUUCUGGACACCGACUACGAGAACUUCUCGUGCAUCUAUAGCUGCUCCGGAUACAACUUCGGCUACUACUCCGACUUCGCCUUCAUCUUCUCCCGCUCGCCAACUCUCGCUGACAGAUACUACAGGCGUUGUGAAGCCGCCUUCAUGAACAUCGGUGUUGAACCCUCUCGCUUCAGCAAGACAACCCAGGGUUCAUCCUGCCCCUACAGCAGCCAUAGGUCUUGGUAAAAUGUCAGUAAAUUACUCUUAUAUGGAUAGAUACCAUAUAUCUAGAAAUAAAAUCAACUAUUAAGCUCU